UCUCCCAGAAAAACUUUGCUGCGCUGACUGCAGCAGACGCGGAGGACUUGAUUGGGCGAGGGCUGAAGUUUGCCCCACACAGACGGUCAGCUGAGAAGGACUGAGCCUUCAAAACCAUGGAGCUCUAUUUUUUUUUUUUUUUUUGGAAGCAAGAGCUUUUUGGCCAUCUUCUACACUGCUGCCAUCCUCCUGCCUCCUCCCCUCUGGCAGGCGCUACAGAUCCCUGCACACAAAAACAACCAGACACAAGAACAGCUUCUUUCCCACUGCCAUCACUCUCCUGAUCUGCUGAUAAGUGGGGUCAUCCCCACUUUGGCCAUUCACCUACACAUUACAUACUUUAUCAUUCCAAUAUGCAUCUUGCACAAUACAUAUGCACUAUUACUUUGCACUCUACAUCCUUAUCUAUUUUGUAUUUUGUUUAUUCUUCUUUGUAUAUUAUAUAUUAAAGUUUUAAAUCCCAUCAA